rnacentral:rRNA from 1 species
GGGUCAGUAGGUUGGUCGUGCCACCGGUACGUACUGGUCUCACUGAUUCCUCCUUCCUGAAGAACCGUAAUGCCAUUAAUUUGGUGUUGCGGGGAAACAGGACUGUUACUUUGAAAAAAUUAGAGUGUUUAAAGCAAGCUAACGCUUGAAUACGUUAGCAUGGGAUAAUGAAAUAGGACGAUCGAUCCUAUUUUGUUGGUUUCUAGGAUUGACGUA